rnacentral:rRNA from 1 species
UACGUAGGGGGGCAAGCGUUGUCCGGAAUCAUUGGGCGUAAAGAGCGCUGUAGGCGGCCCGAUAAGUCCGGCGUGAAAGUCCAGGGCUCAACCCUGGAAUGCCGGUGGAAACUGUCGGGCUGGAGUCCGGAAGAGGCGAGUGGAAUUCCUGGUGUAGCGGUGAAAUGCGCAGAUAUCAGGAGGAACACCAAUGGCGAAGGCAGCUCGCUGGGACGGUACUGACGCUGAGGCGCGAAAGCGUGGGUAGCAAACAGG